UGGCAAGUUUCGGGCCAGCAGCCGCGGUAAUUCCAGCUCCAAUAGCGUAUAUUAAAGUUGUUGCAGUUAAAAAGCUCGUAGUUGAACUUUGGGCCUGGGCGGGCGGUCUACCUAUGGUUUGUACUGCUGCGGCCGGGUCUUUCCUUCUGGCUACCCCUCCGGGGGGAACCAGGACGAUUACUUUGAGGAAAUUAGAGUGUUCAAAGCAGGCCUUUGCUCGGAUAUAUUAGCAUGGAAUAAUAGAAUAGGACGUAUGGUUCUAUUUUGUUGGUUUCUAGGACCAUCGUAAUGAUUAAUAGGGACGGUCGGGGGCAUCAGUAUUCAGUCGUCAGAGGUGAAAUUCUUGGAUUGACUGAAGACUAACUACUGCGAAAGCAUUGCCAAGGACGUUUCAUAUCAGACGAAUUG
rnacentral:rRNA from 1 species